GCCACACUGGGACUGAGACACGGCCCAGACUCCUACGGGAGGCAGCAGUGGGGAAUAUUGCACAAUGGGCGCAAGCCUGAUGCAGCAACGCCGCGUGAGGGACGACGGCCUUCGGGUUGUAAACCUCUUUUAGCAGGGAAGAAGCGAAAGUGACGGUACCUGCAGAAAAAGCGCCGGCUAACUACGUGCCAGCAGCCGCGGUAAUACGUAGGGCGCAAGCGUUAUCCGGAAUUAUUGGGCGUAAAGAGCUCGUAGGCGGUUUGUCGCGUCUGCUGUGAAAUCCGGAGGCUCAACCUCCGGCCUGCAGUGGGUACGGGCAGACUAGAGUGCGGUAGGGGAGAUUGGAAUUCCUGGUGUAGCGGUGGAAUGCGCAGAUAUCAGGAGGAACACCGAUGGCGAAGGCAGAUCUCUGGGCCGUAACUGACGCUGAGGAGCGAAAGGGUGGGGAGCAAACAGGCUUAGAUACCCUGGUAGUCC
rnacentral:rRNA from 2 species